GCUGUCUUUGGCUCGGGAGCGGUAUAGAGCAGGACGUACACUGUCAAAGAUGGGCACUUCUGCAAUGAUGUCAGGAUUCAUCACUCUCAGACCUAGAACAGAGAAACACAAUUAUUUAAUAGUAAUUAAAAAGUUGCCAAGUAUUUAUGUUAAUAUUUACCUGAUAACUCCUCCUGAUAAAGAGAUGGAAUUGGUUUGGAAUCUUUUCGGACAAGGUCCUUAAGAUUGGCCAAGAAAGAAUCUACAGCGAUUCUAUUCUCCACAGAUGCAUGGUUAUGCUGGUCUCUGUAGGACGUGAGAAUAUUAUCUUUGGUGUUAACCGUGGCAUGGCAGUUCUUCUGGGCGCAGUUCCAAUGGACAGAUGUUCCUCGUCUUCUUUUAACUACAAACUUGUAAUUUUGGAACACUAAGUACUGACCACCUCUACCAUUAGGAAUAACCUGGACAUUAACCUGUUGGUUAGCCAUCGUGACUGACCUUAAAGAACCUCAUGUACCAUUUUAUAAUCGUGUAAUAGUGAAAAGUGUUCACUGAAUUAAAAAAACACAAAUAGCAUAAUCGACACAAUUUAAUUAAA
rnacentral:lncRNA from 1 species